AGGACUUGAACAUUCCUAGAUCACAGGAUAGACUAUAAGAUAAUAUAAAAAAUCUGGGCUAGGGAUGUAGCUCACUUGUUAAGUGUGCUUGACUAACUUCCAGGAAACCCUGGGUUCCAUCGCCAGCACCACAUGGAACCAGGGGGUGGCACACACCUAUAGAUCUAGCACCUAUCAGUCAGAUCUUGAAGAACAGAAGUUCAAGGGUCACCCUUAGCUACACAGCAAGGCAAGGACACCCACUGUUAAAGUUCUGACAUGGAUGGCUUUGGAGCCAUGAUGGUUGUGUAGCUAGUCAGUCUGUGGUCAGUCUGUGACUACGGGCUGCAGUUCUUGGAGGACCCUUUAGCACCUGCCUCAAAAGGGGCCUCAGCUAUUCUUACUUCCAUAUUGGACUAGGAGAAUUUCAAAGGUGAGUUUUAAGAAGAGGUAGAAAGGAUAUCAGGUUAGUUGCUGAGUUCCCCAGUUGGUCCUCUGAUAAUCCAAGCCCCACCCUACCCCCAAAAAUGUUCCCAGCUUUGAAACUGCCGAGCAUGCUGCCUCUGCCCCCACCUCGCCUACCCGUGCGCUCCUCUGCACUCCAGGUUCCUAACCUCUUGAUGUCUCUUUCAAAAGGUGGGGACCCAAACUCUAUGCACUGUUCCAGAUGCGUUCUUGCCAAAGCAGCAUAAAGCAGAUGUAACGGGAUGGCACCUCCUCCUCAUGAGUUCCUGUCCAGCUGAAGGAGCUGAGGCAGAGCGUGCUGUAGCGGCCCGACCUGCACCACCUUGACCUUCUUGAUAGUCCGCAUCCGCCAGACUCUUGACCAGUGAAGGACACCAUCCUCCAAUAAAUCACCUCCCUGUCAGGUCGAGUUUAUGAAAGUGAGAUUUUUAUCUGUGACUCUGGUCAAGUGAUUACUGAAAGUGCUAUUUUUGUAGGACGUUCUCUUGGAUUUUGAAAGACUCUCUGGAUACAUGAGAAAGGGGGUAUUAAGAGUGCUCCCUCCCACGUGACACUUCCCAUUUCCUGGAGUGUUAAUGUCAUGCAGCUGCCCAUGUUGUACAUGCAUGUUGAGCCAGAAGACCAAAGAACUGGUUCAUAGACUUUAUUAAUAAAGUUGUUAUGCACCUCCCUCA